UGCCCCACUGCCAGCAGGACGAGCCUGCCCCUCCUCCACCCUCCUUACAGCUAUACCUGGCCCUGGCCAUAAUCACUAAUGGACCAGGAAACACCCUGGCCGGCAGAGCCCCGCAGAGUGGCCCGCUCAAGGGCUCUGGGAAGGGCUGGGGAGCCCCUGCAGAACGCCGAAAGCGAAACUACAGCAGAAGCCGCCACAGGCUGGCAGACACUCUAACCCUUCCUCCCCCCGGAAAAGGCUGAAUCUCCUCAGCUCUAACUGGUAGGAAGGGGAAUUUUGUGCUCCUCUCUCUACAGCGUGCUCCUCCGUACCGCCCUGCCCAUUGCUUGCUGAUGUCCCUGCUAUGUGGAUCCUGGCAAGUCCCUACCCUUCUCUAAACUUCAGUUUCCUCAUCUCAAGAAUAAUGACCGCCAGGACCACCAGGACCGCACCCAUCCUCAAAAGAAGCUGGUGAGGCUUUAAAAGUUUCCAGUUACGGUGGCUCAUGCCUGUCAUCCCAACACUUUGGAAGGCUGAGGCUGGAAGAUCGCUUGAGCCCAGAAGGAGUUUGAGACCAGCCUGGGCAACACGUGGAGGAAACCCUAGGAAAAAGGAGAAGGAGGAGGAACAGCUGCCUCAAUCAGAAGAGUAAAACCCCAAGCAGAGCUGGAAGAAGAAAAGAUGCUCCUGACCACCUUGACCUUCACCCUUGGCCCAAGACGACAGGACUGAGUUUUCUCUAUGGAGAAAGAAGAUGUGCUGGCAAUCAGCCCAGCCUCCCCUCCGGGACUCGGGUCUGCCUGCCCUCACCGCACCCACCGCCCGAGUUCGCCCCGUCUUUUCUCUGGACCACAGCAGAGACCUCGCGGAGUUGCCGUCUCUCCGAUCUUAGUGCCAGAGUGUGCUUCUAAAAUGCAAAUCUGACGGGGUCACCCUGUGCUUAAAAUUUUCCUCCCUAUUCCCCUCAGAAUAAAAUCCAGCACCUCUUUCCGGCACACAGAAAAAGAGAAUAAUAGAUUCACACCUGACUUUUCAUCAAGAGCAACGGAAGCCAGAGAGAUGCCGUCAUCUUAGAAUUACAUUUUCAGUGAAAUUAUCUUUCAAGAAUUAUGUAGCCAGUAUGAGGUACAUGUAUCCAGAACGUAGGUGAAAUCAUAACACUUACAAAUACAAAAACUUAAGAGUUUGCCACUGGCACACCCUCCGGAGGGAGAUUCCAAAGCGGGAACUUCAGGCAGGAGAACGAUGAUCUGAUGCAACAGGGAAUAAAGAAAAAUGAAGAACAUUGAUACUAUGAAACAAUAACAAUGUCUUCUGGAUAAAAACAUUUAAAAUACGUAACAGUGAUGGCAUAUACUUGGGUGAGUGGAGUUAAAAGUGUUCUAAGAUCCUUGUAUUCCUCAGGAGGAAGGUGAAGAUAGAUACCAAAUACACUUUGACGAAUUUAAGAAUCCAGGUUGUCAUUUCUGGGAUAAACACUGUAGGACUGGAAAUGCAGUGUAUAGUUAUCCAAAUUAUUGGAGGAGGAAAAAGAAUGAUCAAAUCAACCCGAACAACCGUAAAGCAGGCAAGAAUGGAGAGAAAAAUAAAUACAAGACGGGGCAGGGAGGGGACAAAUAGACGAUAGCUAUAAAUUCUAAUAUUCUGUGAUUCAAUAAAUGUACACUAAAUAUUGCAGUUAAGAUACAAAGAUUAUCAGAAUGCAUAAAUUGCUAGAUGCAGUUUACAAGAGAAACCCACAAGAGGCACUUACAAAACAUAAAGCUAGUGAAGGUCAAAAGUGAACACAUGGGGUAAAAAUACCAUGCAAAUGCCAACAAAAAGAAGGCUGGUGCAGUUAUUUUAAUAUCUACGGAAAAACAUCACUAGAGAUAAAUAAGGUCAUUUCAUAAUGAAAAGUGUCCAAUUCACCAGAAAAAUAGAACAAUUUCGCAUUUGUAUGCAAAUACCAGUCUUAAAAUAUAAGAAACAUGAAGAAGAGAACUAGAUGGAGAGACAGACAAACCCACAAUUAUAGUGGGAGAUUUUAACACUCAUCCCUCCAUGAUUGGUAGGAGAAGAAAAAUAUUCAAUAGUAUAUAGGAGAUAGGCGACUCGAACAUGAUUAAUAGACUUAACUAAUAGACUUAUAGCACACUGUUAUCUACAAUGGUAAAAUACUCCCCUUUUCAAGACAUAUGGAAUACUUACAAAAACAGUUAAUUUCAAUAAAUUUCAAAAGUCAGAAAUAACAGAAUGCAUUCUCUGACCACAGCACAUAUAAGCUAGAGAUGAAUAACAAAAAGUUCACUUCAAAAGCCCCAUGUUUGGAAAGUAAGAAGUAUGGGGUUGUUGUUGUUGUUGUUGUUUUCGUUAUAUUCAUUUAUUUAUUUUGAGACGGAGUUUUGCUCUGUCACCCAGGCUGGAGUGAAGUGGCGCGAUC